CAGCAGCCGCGGUAAUACGAAGGGGGCUAGCGUUGCUCGGAAUUACUGGGCGUAAAGGGCGCGUAGGCGGACAGUUCAGUCGGGGGUGAAAGCCCGGGGCUCAACCUCGGAAUUGCCUUCGAUACUGGCUGUCUUGAGUAUGAGAGAGGUGUGUGGAACUCCGAGUGUAGAGGUGAAAUUCGUAGAUAUUCGGAAGAACACCAGUGGCGAAGGCGACACACUGGCUCAUUACUGACGCUGAGGCGCGAAAGCGUGGGGAGCAAACAGGAUUAGAUACCCCUGUAGUCCCUGUCUCUUAUAC
rnacentral:rRNA from 1 species